rnacentral:rRNA from 1 species
UACGGAGGGUGCAAGCGUUAUCCGGAUUCACUGGGUUUAAAGGGUGCGUAGGAGGGCAGGUAAGUCAGUGGUGAAAUCUCCAGCUUAACUUGGAACUGCCGUUGAUACUAUCUGUCUUGAAUACCGUGGAGGUGAGCGGAAUAUGUCAUGUAGCGGUGAAAUGCUUAGAUAUGACAUAGAACACCCAUUGCGAAGGCAGCUUACUACACAAAUUAUUGACGCUGAGGCACGAAA